rnacentral:rRNA from 1 species
UACGGAGGAUCCAAGCGUUAUCCGGAAUCAUUGGGUUUAAAGGGUCCGCAGGCGGUUGUUUAAGUCAGAGGUGAAAGUUUGCAGCUCAACUGUAAAAUUGCCUUUGAUACUGAAUGACUUGAGUUAUAAUGAAGUGGUUAGAAUAUGUAGUGUAGCGGUGAAAUGCAUAGAUAUUACAUAGAAUACCGAUUGCGAAGGCAGAUCACUAAUUAUAUACUGACGCUGAGGGACGAAAGCGUGGGGAGCGAAC